rnacentral:rRNA from 1 species
UACGAAGGGGGGCGAGCGUUGUUCGGAAUUACUGGGCGUAAAGGGCGCGUAGGCGGCCUUCUAAGUCGAACGUGAAAUCCCCGGGCUCAACCCGGGAACUGCGUCCGAUACUGGUGGGCUCGAAUCCGGGAGAGGGAUGCGGAAUUCCAGGUGUAGCGGUGAAAUGCGUAGAUAUCUGGAGGAACACCGGUGGCGAAGGCGGCAUCCUGGACCGGUAUUGACGCUGAGGCGCGAAAGCCAGGGGAGCAAAGCGGG